UCUCUCUCUUUCUCACCAGAUUUGAGGGCGACGGCGGACGAUGAGGACGAUGACGGACACCGGCGAGCGACGACUCUAUUCCAGCACAGUCCAAAUUUCCAGCCAACACACAUAUCGCUAUAGUUUAUCACAGAGUGAAUUCCGUUCCAGAUUUGCACUUUUCCUUCUACGUUUUUGAGAUGACUUCAUCGACAAAAUGUUUGUGCUGAACGAUUAUACAAGGUUUUUGGCCCUUCAGCUCAGCAAAGGGAUCUUUAUGAUCAAGCAGUUGUUCCAAUUGUUAAUGAAGUUUUGGAGGAUUUCAAUUGUACCAUUUUUGCAUAUGGACAAGUUAAUUUUAUAGGCUUUUCACUCAGUUGGCUGGGAUUUCAUCAUGGACAUUCUCGUAGCCAACAAUACUCCUACCCACUUGCUUACAAGUCUAAUUAUUUGACAGGGAUGGGCUAGGAGCGCAUCAUUGGGCAGGCUUCUUCCAUCAGCUUUAAACAUUAACCUUUUGGCAUGAAGAACUUGCAAUCCAAAGACUUUUGCUUUGUCU